CGGCUCCCUCUCUCCCUCACAUCGACAAGUGGGACCGUGGGACCCACCUGUCAGGUCCAUCCCCAACCUCCAUCCAAGCCAGCCGGCAACUGCCGAAGCCGCCAUGGACGGCCGUUGCCGCCCACGUCGCCGCCGAUUCCGGGUCCUCCCGCUCACGCCCUCGCGCCCAAACCGCAUAAAAUCGAUUCCCCUCCACCUCCUCUACUGCUCUACACUCUCCCUACGUUUCCCCCAAAAAUCGUGCCGGGAUAGAGCUCCACUUCGCCCACGAUUUCACCCACGUCGCCGGCCGUUGCCGCCCAAAUCCGCCACGCCCGGCAACGGUUUUCCCUCCCCAAGCAUGUAAAAUCCAUCCCCGGGCUCCCUUCUCUCGUUUCCCCCCCUUGCCGGCGCUUCCCUCGCCUUCUCCCGCUCUCCCCACGCCGCUCCCCAUCGCUGCCGCUUGCCAGCGACCUUCAGUCGGCCGCUGCCGCCGCGCUAGUCGUCGCCGCACCUCGCCGCCGGCACCGGCGGCUUCACUGCAUCAAGCCCCACCCUGGCCGCUGCUCUGCUCCUCCAAACCACCACCCAAACGCCCCCUCCCCGUGCAUCCGAGCCGCCACCACCUCUGCCACGCUCCAGCCGCCCGCCACAGCCGCUGUAACCACCACCGCCACCUGCAGCUUCGCCGCACCGCGUAGCACCCCGUCCUCCACUCCUUUUACCCCUCGUCGCCACCGAAACGCCGCCCCACUACAAAACCGAGCCACCGUCGCCUCCCUCGGCUCCGCAAGGACGAGGAGAACCUGGGCCAUCCCUUCCCAUCGCCAGAAACUCACUGGACGUCCGUUUUCCCGUGCGCCGCCGCUGCUCGUCCACUCCGUCCCGAGCGCCGCCCGUCGCCGGAGUGCCGCCGUCUCCCUCCGCCCUGAGCUUCGCCGGCCGCCUCCCUCCAUCGCCAUACCCCACGCGAGUAGAUUCCGUCGUUUCGGAAGUCCACAGUCUUAAGGAUAAGAGUUCGGAAGAUUGUUCGAAGAAGCAAGGCAAGUCACACAUUCUCCUUGAGUAUAUUGAGCCUAUUUUUUUAAUGUUUUACCGUUUGCAAAUAAAUAUGCAUGUUUUGCUAAUUACAUGGGAUCAGGGUUUACCUACCUGCUCGCUUGUGCCGUGUUUACUUGAUGUAUGUCCUUUGUCGACCUUGGGUGAUAAAUCGGCUAGCUGUUGUUACUUAUGUUGACAUAGCUAGAACUAUAUGCUUAGCCAUGCUUAAUUACCACUAGCUCACUUGAUGGGAUAAUUACAAUUUUAGACAUCUAGUAUCUUGACGAGUUGUGUGCUCGA